AUUGAACGCGGCGGCAGGCUUAACACAUGCAACUGAACGGUAGCAGGAGAAGCUUUCCUUUCUUGCUGACGAGUGGCGGACGGGUGAGUAAUGCUUGGGAAUCUGGCUUAUGGAGGGGGAUAACGACGGGAAACUGUCGCUAAUACCGCGUAGUGUCGAGAGACGAAAGUGCGGGACUGAGAGGCCGCAUGCCAUAGGAUGAGCCCAAGUGGGAUUAGGUAGUUGGUGGGGUAAAGGCCUACCAAGCCAGCGAUCUCUAGCUGGUCUGAGAGGAUGACCAGCCACACUGGAACUGAGACACGGUCCAGACUCCUACGGGAGGCAGCAGUGGGGAAUAUUGCGCAAUGGGGGGAACCCUGACGCAGCCAUGCCGCGUGAAUGAAGAAGGCCUUAGGGUUGUAAAGUUCUUUCGGUAUUGAGGAAGGUUGAUGUGUUAAUAGCACAUCAAAUUGACGUUAAAUACAGAAGAAGCACCGGCUAACUCCGUGCCAGCAGCCGCGGUAAUACGGAGGGUGCGAGCGUUAAUCGGAAUAACUGGGCGUAAAGGGCACGCAGGCGGUUAUUUAAGUGAGGUGUGAAAGCCCCGGGCUUAACCUGGGAAUUGCAUUUCAGACUGGGUAACUAGAGUACUUUAGGGAGGGGUAGAAUUCCACGUGUAGCGGUGAAAUGCGUAGAGAUGUGGAGGAAUACCGAAGGCGAAGGCAGCCCCUUGGGAAUGUACUGACGCUCAUGUGCGAAAGCGUGGGGAGCAAACAGG
rnacentral:rRNA from 1 species